GGUUAAGUUAAUAAGGGCGCACGGUGAAUGCCUUGGCACUAGGAGCCGAUGAAGGACGGUACUAACACCGAUAUGCUUCGGGGAGCUGUAAGU
rnacentral:rRNA from 1 species